AUAGAAUAAUGUAUGUAAGGGAAGUCGGCAAAUUAGAUCCGUAACUUCGGGAUAAGGAUUGGCUCUGAAGAUUGAGAUAGUCGGGCUUGAUUGGGAAGCAAUAAUAUGGUUUACGUACUCGUUCUGGGUAAAUUAGAUUUAAAUUUAUAUAUUUUAUAUAUAAAUUUAAUUUGUUCCCCGGAUAGUAGUCUACGUAACCAAUUGCGGAACUUUCUUGCUAAUAAUAUAUAAAAUAAAUGUAAAAAUUGAUUUAUAUAUUUUUAACGGCUAUCAAUUAACAAUCAAUUCAGAACUGGCACGGACUUGGGGAAUCCGACUGUCUAAUUAAAACAAAGCAUUGUGAUGGCCCCAACGGGUGUUGACACAAUGUGAUUUCUGCCCAGUGCUCUGAAUGUCAAAGUGAAGAAAUUCAAUUAAGCGCGGGUAAACGGCGGGAGUAACUAUGACUCUCUUAUGGUAGCCAAAUGCCUCGUCAUCUAAUUAGUGACGCGCAUGAAUGGAUUAACGAGAUUCCUACUGUCCCUAUCUACUAUCUAGCGAAACCACAGCCAAGGGAACGGGCUUGGAAUUAUCAGUGGGGAAAGAAGACCUUUUGAGCUUGACUCUAGUCUGACAAUGUAAGGAGACAUAAGAGGUGUAGCAUAAGUGGGAGAUAUAUAAUUUUUAUAAAUUAUGUAUCGACAAUGAAAUACCACUACUUUUAUUGUUUCCUUACUUACUUGAUAAAGUGGAACGUGUAUCAUUUACUUAGCUAUUAUACGGAUAUAUAUUUUAUAUAUUUUAUGGUAUUUUGUUAUGAUACAAGUUUCUUGAUAAAAAUAUAACGAAUUUGUUAUAUACGCCAAACAAAUUCAUAAUGAAAUUUUAUAUAUAAAAUAUUUGUAAAAGUAUUUUUAUAUAAUUAAGUAAUUAAAUUUGGUAUAACUAUUAUAUUCAUGUAUGAUCCAUUUCAAGGACAUUCUCAGGUUGGUAGUUUGACUGGGGCGGUACAUCUCUCAAAUAAUAACGGAGGUGUCCCAAGGCCAGCUCAGUGCGGACAGAAACCACACAUAGAGCAAAAGGGCAAAUGCUGACUUGAUCUCGGUAUUCAGUACGUACAGAGACAGCGAAAGCUCGGCCUAUCGAUCCUUUUGGUUUAAUGAGUUUUUAACAAGAGGUGUCAGAAAAGUUACCAGAGGGAUAACUGACUUGCGGCAACCAAGCGUUCAUAGCGACGUUGCUUUUUGAUCCUUCGAUGUCGGCUUUUCCUAUCAUUGUGAAGCAAAAUUCACAAAGUGUUGGAUUGUUCACCCAUUCAAGGGAACAUGAGCUGGGUUUAGACCGUCGUGAGACAGGUUAGUUUUAACCUUCUGAUAAAAUUAUGUUAUUACAACAGCAUUUCUGCGUAGUACGAGAGGAACCCGCAGUACGGACCAAUGGCACAAUACUUGUUCGAGCGAACAGUGGUAUGAUGCUACGUCUGCUGGAUUAUGCCUGAACGCCUCUAAGGUCGUAACCAAGCUGGAUGUAAUGAUAGUAAUGGGGUAAUUGCAUUGCGUGGCAUUAAAACAUUAAAAGUUAGUUUAAUUAACGAAAAUGUAAUUUAUGAAGCCAAUUAUAUAAUAAACAGUUUAUUGAGUUGUAUUAUAAGCUUCUCUAUUAAACUAUAUUAUAUGAAAGACUAUUAUAAUGCGCAGUGACAAUACCCAGAAUCAAUUGUAAACUACUUUGGUAAC
rnacentral:rRNA from 1 species